GGGGUUGUGGCUCAGUGGUAGAGCGCUUGCUUAGCACUUGCGAGACCCUGGGUUCGAAUCUCAGCACCA
rnacentral:tRNA from 1 species